AGUUUUACAGGAAUUACAAAUGGUAGCAACAGUGUCACCAUUAGUACAAUGGUGAAAACCGAGAAGAGAGGUUUUGACAUGAACUUGCUAUACAUUGUAAGUCAGGAUGCUUAUAAAUUUCCCAUU